GACGAACGCUGGCGGCGUGCUUAACACAUGCAAGUCGAGCGGAGCUGCCAACGGGUGAGUGACGCGUGAGUAACUGCCCCCCUCUCUGGGAUAACAGUUGGAAAAGGCUGCUAAUACCGGAUAGUGGGGGAUGACUCGCGUCCUAUCAGCUGGUUGGUGGGGUAGUGGCCUACCAAGGCGACGCCGGGUAGCCGGCCUGAGCGGGCGACCGGCCACAUUGGGCUGAGAGACGGCCCAAACUCGUACGGGAGGCAGCAGGGGGGAAUAUUGCGCAAUGGGGGAACCCCUGAUGCAGCAACGCCGCGUGCGGGAUGACGGCCUUCGGGUUGUAAACCGCUUUCAGCCAUGACGCGGUAGUGGCAGAAGAAGCACCGGCUAACUACGUGCCAGCCGCCGCGGUAAUUC
rnacentral:rRNA from 1 species